CCCAUACUCCUACGGGAGGCAGCAGUGGGGAAUAUUGCACAAUGGGCGCAAGCCUGAUGCAGCGACGCCGCGUGAGGGAUGACGGCCUUCGGGUUGUAAACCUCUUUCAGCAGGGAAGAAGCGCGAGUGACGGUACCUGCAGAAGAAGCACCGGCUAACUACGUGCCAGCAGCCGCGGUAAUCGCACCCCCCGGGUUAA
rnacentral:rRNA from 1 species